rnacentral:rRNA from 1 species
GCACGGAGUUAGCCGAUCCUUAUUCUUACGAUACCGUCAAGCUCCGACACGUCGGAGUGUUUCUUCUCGUAUAAAAGCAGUUUACAAUCCAUAGGACCGUCAUCCUGCACGCGGCAUGGCUGGAUCAGGCGUGCGCCCAUUGUCCAAUAUUCCUCACUGCUGCCUCCCGUAGGAGUCUGGUCCGUGUCUCAGUACCAGUGUGGGGGAUCUCCCUCUCAGGACCCCUACCCAUCGUAGCCUUGGUAAGCCGUUACCUUACCAACUAGCUAAUGGGACGCAUGCUCAUCUUUUACCGUUGUGACUUUAAUUACAUCUCGAUGCCGAGUCGUAAUACUAUGAGGUAUUAAUCCAAAUUUCUCUGGGCUAUCCCUCUGUAAAAGGUAGAUUGCAUACGCGUUACGCACCCGUGCGCCGGUCUCUAGUUCCGAAGAACCAUACCCCUCGACUUGCAUGUGUUAAGCCUGCCGCUAGCGUUCAUC